UAGGGAAUCUUCGGCAAUGGACGAAAGUCUGACCGAGCAACGCCGCGUGAGUGAAGAAGGUUUUCGGAUCGUAAAACUCUGUUGGUAGAGAAGAACGUUGGUGAGAGUGGAAAGCUCAUCAAGUGACGGUAACUACCCAGAAAGGGACGGCUAACUACGUGCCAGCAGCCGCGGUAAUACGUAGGUCCCGAGCGUUGUCCGGAUUUAUUGGGCGUAAAGCGAGCGCAGGUGGUUUAUUAAGUCUGGUGUAAAAGGCAGUGGCUCAACCAUUGUAUGCAUUGGAAACUGGUAGACUUGAGUGCAGGAGAGGAGAGUGGAAUUCCAUGUGUAGCGGUGGAAUGCGUAGAUAUAUGGAAGAACACCAGUGGCGAAGGCGGCUCUCUGGUCUGCAACUGACGCUGAGGCUCGAAAGCAUGGGUAGCGAACAGGAUUAGAUACCCUGGUAGUCCAUGCCGUAAACGAUGAGCAGCUAG
rnacentral:rRNA from 1 species